AGGGCAUGAUGAGGAUAUUUCUUAAGCAAUUCCUUAAAUCUUUCUGAUGAUUCACAAAUAGAUUCACCUUAUAUCUAUGUAAAUGAUAUAAUAUCAUUUUUAAGUUU